AGCGAGGUACAGUAGUGGCCUAACUGACCAGUCUCAUAAUCUGGUUUUCGUCGGUUCGAAUCCGACCCUCGCUC
rnacentral:tRNA from 1 species